rnacentral:rRNA from 1 species
GAGCCGUGCUUGCAGCGAGUGGGAUUGCCUCAGUAACGGCGAGUGAAGCGGCAACAGCUCAAAUUUGAAAUCUGGCCCCCUCGGGGCCCGAGUUGUAAUUUGCAGAGGGUGCUUCGGCGUUGGCGCCGGCCUAAGUUCCUUGGAACAGGACGUCAUAGAGGGUGAGAACCCCGUACGUGGCAGGCCGCCUCCGCCGUGUGAAGCCCCUUCGACGAGUCGAGUUGUUUGGGAAUGCAGCUCUAAAUGGGAGGUAAAUUCCUUCUAAAGCUAAAUACUGGCCAGAGACCGAUAGCGCACAAGUAGAGUGAUCGAAAGAUGAAAAGCACUUUGGAAAGAGAGUCAAAAAGCACGUGAAAUUGUUGAAAGGGAAGCGCUUGCAGCCAGACUUGCCUGUAGUUGCUCAUCCGGGCCCCGGCCCGGUGCACUCUUCUGCGGGCAGGCCAGCAUCAGUCAGGGCGGCCGGAUAAAGGCCCCGGGAACGUAGCUCCCUCCGGGGAGUGUUAUAGCCCGGGGCGCAAUGCGGCCAGCCCCGACUGAGGUCCGCGCAUCUGCUAGGAUGCUGGCGUAAUGGCUGUAAGCGGCCCGUCUUGAAACACGGACCAAGGAGUCUAACAUCUAUGCGAGUGUUUGGGUGUCAAGCCCGGGCGCGAAAUGAAAGUGAACGGAGGUGGGAACCCCUUCCGGGGUGCACCAUCGACCGAUCCUGAUGUCUUCGGAUGGAUUUGAGUAAGAGCAUAGCUGUUGGGACCCGAAAGAUGGUGAACUAUGCCUGAAUAGGGUGAAGCCAGAGGAAACUCUGGUGGAGGCUCGCAGCGGUUCUGACGUGCAAAUCGAUCGUCAAAUUUGGGCAUAGGGGCGAAAGACUAAUCGAACUAUCUAGUAGCUGGUUCCUGCCGAAGUUUCCCUCAGGAUAGCAGUAACGUUUUCAGUUUUAUGAGGUAAAGCGAAUGAUUAGAGGCCUGGGGGUUGAAACAACCUUCACCUAUUCUCAAACUUUAAAUAUGUAAGAAGUCCUUGUUACUUAAUUGAACGUGGACAUUUGAAUGGACCGUUACUAGUGGGGCAUUUUUUGGUAAGCCAAACUGGGCGAUGCCGGAUGAAACCGAACGCGGGGGUUAAAGGUGCCAAGAUUGCACGCUUCAUCAGAACCCCACAAAAGGUGGUUAGUUUCAUCUAAGAAAGCAAGAACGGGUGGCCCAUGGGAAAUCCGGAAUCCCCCUUAAGGAAGUGGGUAAAAAACUUAACCUGGCCCAAAAGGAACUAGCCCCCUGAAAAAUGGGAUGGGCGCUUAAAAGGGGGGUUACCCAAUACCCCCCGCCGCCAGGGGCAAAAAUAUAUGCCCCGUGGGCAAAAAAACCAAGGCUUGGGGGGUCCCUUGCAAAAAAACCUUUGGGGGGUGAACCCCCGGUUUAAACGGUCCCG